rnacentral:rRNA from 1 species
UACGGGGGGGGCAAGCGUUGUUCGGAAUUACUGGGCGUAAAGGGUUCGUAGGUGGCCAACUAAGUCAGACGUGAAAUCCCUCAGCUUAACUGGGGAACUGCGUCUGAUACUGGUUGGCUUGAGUGCAGGAGAGGAACGCGGAAUUCCAGGUGUAGUGGUGAAAUGCGUAGAUAUCUGGAGGAACACCGGUGGCGAAGGCGGCGUUCUGGACUGUAACUGACACUGAUGAACGAAAGCCAGGGUAGCAAACGGG